GUGGGUGAGGAGGGCAGUGAGUUACAGAACUCUUUGUCUAGUUAACCAAUGCCUCCAGAAUUUUAACAAGGGACAUUCCUGUUAGUCUUGAGGCUACACUUAGAAAGUGGAUGAGUCCCUGGAACUGGCCUGGAGAGUUUUAUUUCCAUCAGGCCUUCAUUUGAGUCACAAUAGGAGAGCUAGAGCCAAUAAGAUAAAUGCAGGUUAGCAAGUGACUUCUUUGAUUUAAUAUGGAAAAAUACAAAAUAAUGGGAACUAGGUCAAAACUGGCACAGAGGAUUAGGGCUUAAAUCGAGUCAGACUUCCCUCUCCCGAGGGAAGGGAAGAGGCUCUGGUUGUAACUAUCUACAAACCCCAACCUUUCGGCUUCAUGCCUGGUGUUAAUUAGGAGGCCAAAAAAACUGUGAUGAAUGUGCAGAGGACAAGAAGGAGAAGCGAAGAGGGCCAAAAAGGCUCUGGGAAGCUGAGAAUCUUGGAGGACAGAGAGGUUUGCAGAAGCAGGUCCUCAGGUUGGAGAAAAAAAUGGAGCCUGUUUCCUAGUCUCUGUGGAUGGCCAGGAAGUUGACAAGCAGGAGGAGAGAAAGAAAAAGGGCAACAAGCUGAAGGAUCCAGGAGAAGAUAGGCACAGACAUCCUAUCGUGCAGAUCUGCUGGGGUUUGGGUGCCAUGCCCAGGAUUUCCUCAGAAUAUAAAGGAAAUGACCAACACACCAACUUCGUCCUCCGUACAUAAGCUGUAUCCAGCUGCAUUAGAGGACUCCCCAACCACCCAAAGAUUUGGUUUGCAUGCGGUGUGAGCAUCCAGAUUAUACAGACUGCUCUCAGUGUGGUGAAGAGUAUUGGGUUCAGCAUCCUCACAGCAAAAGGAUACGAGUAGUGGCUCCCUGAAAGGAUCAUCAACCCAUGGCCAUGUUAUAUGCAGGGAAAUCGUAUUCCCAAAGAGGCAAAAUGUGGAACUCCACAAGGAAAGGACGAAUCUAAAUUUACUUUUUUGAAGAUUAGUUCUCAAAGUGUGGUCCUUGGAGACUUCUUUAACCACUUCCAUGGCUCCAUAGGCGAUAAUAUGCCUUCUUUUUACCUUCCACAGUGACAGAAGAAUAUUUUGUGGUCGUAUUUUCUGUCAAGACAGAGAAAUCAAUGGAAACUGCAGACUGGCUGUAAAAUGCUCUGGAACAACUGUUACAAAGAACCAAGAGAUCAAGGGAAGAAAACUGAGGAUACCAUAUAUUGCAAACCUUUUUUUUUUAAAGAUACGGAUGAAAUCUUUUUCAAGGACUAGAAUAAACCUGUCCCCUUAACAGUCAAUUUAUUUUAAUUAGUCCUCAAAUGGUCUUUCCUUCCCUUUCUUUUUCAGCUAUUAGUAUUAAUACUAUUCAGAAUGAAAUAAAGGCCUUUAAUAAUGACA